rnacentral:rRNA from 1 species
GACGAACGCUGGCGGCGUGCUUAACACAUGCAAGUCGAACGGAAAGGCCCUGCUUUUGUGGGGUGCUCGAGUGGCGAACGGGUGAGUAACACGUGAGUAACCUGCCCUUGACUUUGGGAUAACUUCAGGAAACUGGGGCUAAUACCGGAUAGGAGCUCCUGCUGCAUGGUGGGGGUUGGAAAGUUUCGGCGGUUGGGGAUGGACUCGCGGCUUAUCAGCUUGUUGGUGGGGUAGUGGCUUACCAAGGCUUUAACGGGUAGCCGGCCUGAGAGGGUGACCGGCCACAUUGGGAAUGAGAUACGGCCCAGACUCCUACGGGAGGCAGCAGUGGGGAAUAUUGCACAAUGGGCGGAAGCCUGAUGCAGCAACGCCGCGUGCGGGAUGACGGCCUUCGGGUUGUAAACCGCUUUCGCCUGUGACGAAGCGUGAGUGACGGUAAUGGGUAAAGAAGCACCGGCUAACUACGUG